AUUGAACGCUGGCGGCAUGCUUUACACAUGCAAGUCGAACGGUAACAGGCCGCAAGGUGCUGACGAGUGGCGAACGGGUGAGUAAUGCAUCGGAACGUGCCCAGUCGUGGGGGAUAACGCAGCGAAAGCUGCGCUAAUACCGCAUACGAUCUAUGGAUGAAAGCGGGGGACCGUAAGGCCUCGCGCGAUUGGAGCGGCCGAUGUCAGAUUAGGUAGUUGGUGGGGUAAAGGCUCACCAAGCCAACGAUCUGUAGCUGGUCUGAGAGGACGACCAGCCACACUGGGACUGAGACACGGCCCAGACUCCUACGGGAGGCAGCAGUGGGGAAUUUUGGACAAUGGGGGCAACCCUGAUCCAGCAAUGCCGCGUGCAGGAAGAAGGCCUUCGGGUUGUAAACUGCUUUUGUACGGAACGAAACGGUCUUGGUUAAUACCCGAGGCUAAUGACGGUACCGUAAGAAUAAGCACCGGCUAACUACGUGCCAGCCGCCGCCGUAACAC
rnacentral:rRNA from 1 species